rnacentral:lncRNA from 1 species
UCACCAUGGAAGAAGUCGCAAGAAGAUCUACCACGUCGUCUCCAUUCCGGGAUCUGUCGCCCGCGCCGCCGCCUCCCUGCCCUCUUUGCCGUUGCCGUCGUCCAUUGCCGCAGACGCCUCCUCCUCACUGGCGAGAUGGUACGACCUCCCCUUACCGCGCUCCAGGAUGCCAAGUUUCAGCUUUCGCCGCCUCCUGCCACUCAUGGCGACCGCCGCGUCGCCCCCUCACCCACCACGCCCGGGACCCCAUGGCGGCCCGUGUCCUGGUCCCCAUGGCUAUCGGCCUUUUCCCCUCGCCCCCAUGG